CCAGCAGCCGCGGUAAUUCCAGCUCCAAUAGCGUAUAUUAAAGUUGUUGCAGUUAAAAAGCUCGUAGUUGAAUUUCUGGCCCGAGCGCCGGUCCGUCUUCAAGACGCGCACCAGGUCGUCUUGGGUCAUCCUUGCGGGGAAGGCGUGUGGCCUUGAUUGGUUCGUGCGUUCGGACCCGCAUCGAUUACUGUGAACAAAUUAGAGUGUUUAAAGCAGGCGUUUUGCUUGAAUACAUUAGCAUGGAAUAAUGAUAUAGGACUUUGGUGCUAUUUCGUUGGUUGCGUACCAAGGUAAUGAUUAAUAGGGAUAGUUGGGGGUAUUCAUAUUUGAUUGUCAGAGGUGAAAUUCUUAGAUUUAUUAAAGAUGAACAACUGCGAAAGCAUUUACCAAGGAUGUUUUCAUUAAUCAAGAACGAAAGU
rnacentral:rRNA from 1 species